rnacentral:lncRNA from 1 species
AAGUUAGUACUUGUUAAGCAGUGGAGCCGUAUCCAACUCCAUCCUACUAAUUUUUCAUGCCACGUAUUCGCCAUGCUAUUAAAAUCAUGGUAGAAGACCUUAUCUUCUUAAUAGAAUGCGAUGAAGUUAUGUGGGGAUGCCGAUGUGUGUGGGUUCUGCAACAGAACAGAGGAACAACCUGUUUUAGAAUAGGUGAUGAGAACAAUGACGAGGGCUUCUUCCUCUUUCGUGCGGUGAGCAAAUGAGAGUUCCUUUUUCCUGAUUUGUGGGGUUUGUGAGUGCACUAUAGAGGGAAAACAAGAAAUUAAGAACUUGAGUUCUUGGGUUGUCUUCUUUAGGAAGUAAGUUGUUUCUUCCCUGGUUCCUUUUCUUCAUCUGUUUUGUACUUUUGUCAACGAAUAGAAAAGCAUCAGCGGGAUUUUCAUGGACGUAGCCCAAACUUGGGAUGAACCACGUUAAAAAUCUGGUAUAUUCUUGUGUUUUGCUUGCUGUUUUAUUUCUCCAGCUCUAUUCUUCAUUCCAUUCCAUCUCCUAACAAUUGGUAUCAGAGCUGUAUUUGUGGGAAAGCCUUGUUCUUUUCCUUAGGAAAA